rnacentral:rRNA from 1 species
CCUCGGGAGGCAGCAGUGGGGAAUAUUGCACAAUGGGCGAAAGCCUGAUGCAGCGACGCCGCGUGAGGGAUGACGGCCUUCGGGUUGUAAACCUCUUUCAGCAGGGACGAAGCGAAAGUGACGGUACCUGCAAAAGAAACACCGGCCAACUACGUGCCGCAGCCGCGG